GACGAACGCUGGCGGCGUGCCUAAUACAUGCAAGUUGAGCGCUGAAGGUUGGUACUUGUCCCAACUGGAUGAGCAGCGAACGGGUGAGUAACGCGUGGGGAAUCUGCCUUUGAGCGGGGGACAACAUUUGGAAACGAAUGCUAAUACCGCAUAAAAACUUUAAACACAAGUUUUAAGUUUGAAAGAUGCAAUUGCAUCACUCAAAGAUGAUCCCGCGUUGUAUUAGCUAGUUGGUGAGGUAAAGGCUCACCAAGGCGAUGAUACAUAGCCGACCUGAGAGGGUGAUCGGCCACAUUGGGACUGAGACACGGCCCAAACUCCCACGGGAGGCAGCAGUAGGGAAUCUUCGGCAAUGGACGAAAGUCUGACCGAGCAACGCCGCGUGAGUGAAGAAGGUUUUCGGAUCGUAAAACUCUGUUGGUAGAGAAGAACGUUGGUGAGAGUGGAAAGCUCAUCAAGUGACGGUAACUACCCAGAAAGGGACGGCUAACUACGUG
rnacentral:rRNA from 1 species